ensembl:lncRNA
UUGUCUUUCUCCUUGCUGGGACCAAGUACCCAAAAAGUCGUAACUUAAGGGAGUAAGGCUCACAGUUUGAAGGGAUACAGUCAGAAAGUAGAGAGCCAAUAGGCUAUCAUACCUCAAGGCCCAAACCCCGCCCCCCAGUGAUGCACUUCUCCAGUGGGGUUCCAUCUCUAAGGUUCUGCAUCUUACUGAAACAGCGCCUCCAGCUGGGGACCAAGUGUUAAGACAGGUUCUGUUCCUGAACCCAGAGCUGGAAGACUCCAUCUAUCCUGGCUCACCCUGAGAUCCCCUGCCUCACCUUCUGAGUUCUGGUAUUACAGGAGGUCACCACACUUGCAAAGCUUUUACAUGGGUUCUGGGGAUACAAGCUUUGGUCCUUAUGCUUGUGUGGUAAGCACCUUGCCGGCUAAGCCAUCUCCCCAGCUCCUGGUUAACCUUAUUUCACACUGUCUCAUAAACUUACAUUGUAACCAGCCUGUUAGGAACAAAUAUAUUCUUAUGUUCCUCACUUUGGCUACCAGACUAUUGAAACAAUGGACCCUAAGAAUCUGGAAGUCCCCCAGGAAUCACAUGCUAGAAGAGGAGGAAGCCUAAAGCCUGGACCAGUCAGGGGAGGCACCGGAAGGAGAUUUCACUACUGACAACUUGUUAGACCACCUUGCUGGAAAGACUGGAGCCCAGACAAUGAUGAGCAGGACCACACCUUGACCAGGUCUGCUUAGACUUCGGUCCCUUCUACUUAAACCUCAACCUUACUUCAGGACCCCAAAGAUAGACGGAAGGAUCCGUGGAUCCUCUUUGCCCCUCGCUCAGCGUGGUCACAUGGAAUGAAUUUCCUCUUUCUGCAUUUCACUGUCCACUCAUCUGCUUUGGUCUGUUUACUGAGGACAGGUGGCUGAGGCUGGCUUCUUGGGGAACAGACAGUGACUCUCUGUCUGGUAUCAGUAUAUCAGUAGGUAACAGCACAGUGAGUACAAUAUUUGUACCAUGGACCCAUUGUCUCAGAGAGGUCCUAAAACCAUACAACAGAGCACUUUCUGGAGAGGCCUAAGAAAGACCAACUCUGAGGUAUAAGCCUGGUGUCUGUAGCAGAGGCACAAGCCUCGGAUCUGCAGCAGAUGACCUGGGCUGGAAUCCCAAGGGCACCACACGCUGUCCGUGAGACACAGACGUGUUAUUCUAACCAGGCUCCAGACCUUCAUUCCCUGAAAUCGGAAGUGGAGACCAUGA